CUCCACCCCUCUGCUGUCAGGCACUGAACUGAUAAAUACAGGCUAGCUGGUUAGAAUCAACAGAAAAUCAACAUCCCGAAAGCCAAGCACCAUCAUGAAUGCCCUGGGCCUAGGGUGUCUCCUGCUUCUGGCACUGACAGGAACCAUCAGUGCCCAGGCGGUCGCUCCCGUGAGCACCUGGACCUGCGCGAACCGGAGAGGGUACUGCCGCCGCUUCUGCCUUGCCCACGAGGUACACAUAGGCCACUAUGGUUGCCCGCGGCGAUACAGGUGCUGCGUGCCAAAGAUCUAUCUUGUGGAAUGGACCAAGCCCAGAAGUGCCAGAUCCAUAUCAACUCCCCCCUAGCCAGAAUGCUGACACAGCACUGAAGCCAUUCUCAGCUGAAAGCAUGUCUGACCUGGCUUAAUGGGGCGAGGGGCUGUGCAGUGGGUGGCUGCCGUCUAUUCUGCUGAGCUUGGAUGACUGUCUAAAAACAAUAUACACCAGCACAGCCAAACUGGGUUCGAAC